UUUUGUGAAGGCUGGUCUUGAGAGCAACAACUUUUACCAGGAUUUGUGGUAUUCAAAAUUAUAGGAGAGAGAAGAGAAGAAUGCAUGGAGACAUCAAUCUUCUGUUGACAGAAGGCAUCUGCAGAUGGAAUUCAAGGUGCCAGGGGAGACAUAAAAGAGAGAAAUAUCUGACUUCUGCGAAAGAAUCAACAUGACUAUUUUGAACUCAGGUCCUAAAUUAGUCAAGA
rnacentral:lncRNA from 11 species